AUUGAACGCUGGCGGCAGGCCUAACACAUGCAAGUCGAACGGUAACAGGAAGAAGCUUGCUUCUUUGCUGACGAGUGGCGGACGGGUGAGUAAUGUCUGGGAAACUGCCUGAUGGAGGGGGAUAACUACUGGAAACGGUAGCUAAUACCGCAUAACGUCGCAAGACCAAAGAGGGGGACCUUCUGGCCUCUUGCCAUCGUAUUUGCCCAGAUGGGAUUAGCUAGUAGGUGGGGUAACGGCUCACCUAGGCGACGAUCCCUAGCUGGUCUGAGAGGAUGACCAGCCACACUGGAACUGAGACACGGUCCAGACUCCUACGGGAGGAAGCAGUGGGGAAUAUUGCACAAUGGGCGCAAGCCUGAUGCAGCCAUGCCGCGUGUAUGAAGAAGGCCUUCGGGUUGUAAAGUACUUUCAGCGGGGAGGAAGGGAGUAAAGUUAAUACCUUUGCUCAUUGACGUUACCCGCAGAAGAAGCACCGGCUAACUCCGUG
rnacentral:rRNA from 1 species